GUGAUCAAUGAUGAUUUUAAUUGGUUUGCCUGACUUUUCAGUGAGGGCAACUUUAGUCACUACCUCUUCUGAGACAC
ensembl:snoRNA